GAACUCUACCAAGACAACUUGGAGUCGCUGUUUCUUAUGCAAUUAACCAAGACAUUGGGAUAAGCAUUGUCCCAAAUGACUUGUCAAACUUAGGUGUGAAGUGAGUGUUAGAUGUUAGAUUGUUAAUUUGGGAAAGUUGCAGAUAAAGGGUGGCACAAAUACCUGUUUGCCAAUGUUGGAGAGGUAUGGGGUGGGAGGGUCUGAUGCAAUACCAGCAUUUGAUGGAUGCAGUCAGGCAAUACUGUUUUUUGUUAAAAAGUAGGCAGGUAGGAGCACAUAGGUAGCUUGUACAGUAUUUGAAGAAGCAACUGGUUCUGUCAAAGUGAGAACAGUGCAUUAGUUUCAAGCCUUUCUCCUUGCCUUUUGUCUUUGCAUUAUUUGUGGGUAGACAAGGUGUCAUGUAUGUAUAUGAGGGCAUAUUUUUCUCCAGUAUUGUCAUAGAAACUCCCACACUAAAUUCCCUUGUAAUCCAAAAGGGGUCAGCUGUUGAACCCCCACCCACUCAAAGGGUUGAAAUGGGAUCAGACACCAAGUGAAACCAAUCUUUGGCUUUCCAUUUCUCAACAAUUGGCACAUGGAAAAAAUUGGCAAUUCCACUCAAAGAACUCAGGGGCCACUGUGACAAGGACGUGGACUUCAACGCUCAAACAGAACACACAUGCCAUACAGUGAUGGAAGCCUGCAGCCCACCAGAAAAGCCAACAAAGUUGUGUCCAUGACAACUGAAGAAGACUGCUAUGGAUUACCAACCCUACUUCAUGUCAAUGCCUCGGUGCUCUGGGAUGAAGAUGACCAAGAUGGACCCAGCCCUCCUUGUUGCCUUACUGCCCCAGGAUGUGUUCAGCAGUAUGAAUGCUGUGACCUGACCUCACCAAGCCUUGUGUACUGCCUUGACCUGAAGACCUCUUCUCCAAAUGGAACAAGUCAGUUUAACAUGGACUGUGCUGUCUUAAGCCAAAAACUUGAUCCAACCAAGUACCUCCUACAUCACAGACUCUGAAAAACUGUCCCUAACCAGAGACACACAACAUUGCCCUACAACAGGACACAUGACACACUACAACAUGAUGCGCUGCAAAGUGUCACAAGACACUAUUGGACAUGAUGCAUAACAACACAAUGCAAUUUAGAGACAUUUUGAAUGUAUUGCUGCAGUUACCAUGUCAUAUUUAUUGUAUCCAACCCUGUAUUGAAUCACUGAAUAUCAUCACUUUUUUCAUCAAGUAAAAUUGUUGCUUAUCUCUCAACUUGGUGAUUAUCUUCAAAUUUUGUCCAUCUUCAAACUACAAUCAGACA